rnacentral:tRNA from 1 species
GGUUUAGCUCAGUGGCACAGCACAUGCCUGGCAAGCAUGAGGUCCCAAGUUUGAUACCUGGUACCA